ACAUCCGUAGCUUGCUUUGCAAGUCUUUUGUGAAAUCGGGCAUCUUAAGUGUCCGUCGUGCAAAAGAUACUGCUUAGCUAGAGACCGGGAGAUGUGAAGAGUACAAAUGGAGUAGCGGUAAAAUGCGUUGAUCCCAUUUGGACUAACAACAGCGAAGGCACUUCACAAGAACGGAUCUGACAGUGAGGGAUGAAGGCUAGGGGCGCAAAUUGGAUUAGAUACCCAAGUAGUCCUAGCAGUAAACCCUGCACACUGAACAUCGGGGCCUCUUCGAGAGGUUUCGGUGCUGUAGAGAAGUCGGAGAGUGUGCUACCUGGGAAGUAUAGUCGCAAGGCCGAAACUUAAAGGAAUUGGCGGGGGAGCACAAGCC
rnacentral:rRNA from 1 species